AAAAAUAUGAUGAUUUCAUAGUUCAAAUGAAUUUAGUGAUUACAACAUUUUAUUGUCUUUCGCUCCUAACUGAUCACUUUU